rnacentral:rRNA from 1 species
UAGGGAAUUUUCCACAAAUGGGCGCAAGCCUGAUGGAGCAACGCCGCGGGAGUGAAGAAGGGUUUCGGCUCGUAAAGCUCUGUUGUUAAAGAAGAACACGUAUGAGAGUAACUGUUCAUACGUUUGACGGUAUUUAACCAGAAAGUCACGGCUAACUACGUGCCAGCAGCCGCGGUAAUACGUAGGUGGCAAGCGUUAUCCGGAUUUAUUGGGCGUAAAGAGAGUGCAGGCGGUUUUCUAAGUCUGAUGUGAAAGCCUUCGGCUUAACCGGAGAAGUGCAUCGGAAACUGGAUAACUUGAGUGCAGAAGAGGGUAGUGGAACUCCAUGUGUAGCGGUGGAAUGCGUAGAUAUAUGGAAGAACACCAGUGGCGAAAGCGGCUCUCUGGUCUGUAACUGACGCUGAGGCUCGAAAGCGUGGGGAGCGAACAGGAUUAGAUACCCUGGUAGUCCACGCCGUAAACGAUGAGUGCUAGGUGUUAGGUCCUUUCCGGGACUUAGUGCCGCAGCUAACGCAUUAAGCACUCCGCCUGGGGAGUACGACCGCAAGGUUG